CGGAUUGGAGUCUGCAACUCGACUCCAUGAAGCUGGAUUCGCUAGUAAUCGCGCAUCAGCCAUGGCGCGGUGAAUACGUUCCCGGGCCUUGUACACACCGCCCGUCAAGCCAUGGGAGUCGGGAGUGCCUGAAGUUCGUGACCGUCACAGGAGCGACCUAAGGCAAGACCGAUGACUGGGGCUAAGUCGUAACAAGGUAGC
rnacentral:rRNA from 1 species